GGGGGUAUAGCUCAGUGGUAGAGUACUUGUCUAGCAUUUGCAAGGCCUUGGGUUUGACUCCCAGUACUGCAA
rnacentral:tRNA from 1 species